UACGUAGGGGGCUAGCGUUGUCCGGAUUUAUUGGGCGUAAAGAGCGUGUAGGCGGCCAGAUAGGUCUGCUGUGAAAACUCGAGGCUCAACCUCGAGAUGUCGGCGGAAACCAUUUGGCUAGAGUCCGGAAGAGGAAAGUGGAAUUCCUGGUGUAGCGGUGAAAUGCGCAGAUAUCAGGAGGAACACCGGCGGCGAAGGCGGUGGUCUGGGCCGGCACUGACGCUGAGGAGCGAAAGCGUGGGUAGCAAACAGG
rnacentral:rRNA from 1 species